rnacentral:rRNA from 1 species
GUACACGCUGUGACUAGCAUAUCAAUAAGCGGAGGAAAAGAAACUAACAAGGAUUCCCCUAGUAACGGCGAGUGAAGCGGGAAGAGCUCAAAUUUGAAAUCUUAAAGGGUUUCCCUUUACGAAUUGUAGUUUAAAGAAGUGUUUUCUGUUGAGGUUUUGGUAAAAGUUCUUUGGAAUAGGACAUCAUAGAGGGUGAGAAUCCUGUAUUUGACCUUUACUUUCAACUUUGUGAUACACUUUCAAAGAGUCGGAUUGUUUGGGAAUGCAGUCCAAAAUGGGUGGUAAAUUUCAUCUAAAGCUAAAUAUUGGCGAGAGACCGAUAGCGAACAAGUACCGUGAGGGAAAGAUGAAAAGAACUUUGAAAAGAGAGUUAAACAGUACGUGAAAUUGUCAAAAGGGAAGCGUUUGACACCAGUGUUGUUUUUCUGAAAAUCAAUUAGAGAACUGUUUAUGCUAAGUUGUUUAGACUUUAUCAGCUAUCUGUUUAGUUUUGAGCUUUUCUUUAAUGCACUUUUCAGUUAACAAGUCAACAUCAAUUUCUUUUGCUGUAAAAAAGCUUGAGGAAGGUGGCUUGAGAUUCGUCUUAAGUGUUUAUAGCCUCUUGCCUAUGCAGUCGGAGAGAUUGAGGUCUGCAGCGUAGAUCCUUCGGGGCUAAAUGCAUUUGUGCUAAGUUAUAGCAUUUUAUAGACAACUUGUUGACCAUGAUUUGUCUUGUAGCUUACUCGCUUAUGUUAUUUUACCUACGCUUAGGAUGUUGAUAUGCAUGACUGAUAU